AGUGAACGCUGGCGGCAGGCCUAACACAUGCAAGUCGAACGGCAGCACAAGAGAGCUUGCUCUCUGGGUGGCGAGUGGCGGACGGGUGAGGAAAACGUCGGAAUCUGCCUAUUUGUGGGGGAUAACGUAGGGAAACUUACGCUAAUACCGCAUACGACCUACGGGUGAAAGUGGAGGACCUUCGGGCUUCACGCAGAUAGAUGAGCCGACGUCGGAUUAGCUAGUUGGCGGGGUAAAGGCCCACCAAGGCGACGAUCCGUAGCUGGUCUGAGAGGAUGAUCAGCCACACUGGAACUGAGACACGGUCCAGACUCCUACGGGAGGCAGCAGUGGGGAAUAUUGGACAAUGGGCGCAAGCCUGAUCCAGCCAUGCCGCGUGGGUGAAGAAGGCCUUCGGGUUGUAAAGCCCUUUUGUUGGGAAAGAAAAGCAACCGGUUAAUACCCGGUUGUCAUGACGGUACCCAAAGAAUAAGCACCGGCUAACUUCGUGCCAGCCGCCACAGUAA
rnacentral:rRNA from 1 species